CAGGGAUUGCCCUAGUAACGGCGAGUGAAGCGGCAACAGCUCAAAUUUGAAAUCUGGCACUUGUGUCCGAGUUGUAAUUUGUAGAGGAUGAUUUUGGUGCGGUAUCUUCCGAGUUCCUUGGAACAGGACGCCUUAGAGGGUGAGAGCCCCGUACGGUUGAAUGCCUAGCCUCUGUAAAUCUCCUUCGACGAGUCGAGUAGUUUGGGAAUGCUGCUCUAAAUGGGAGGUAAAUUUCUUCUAAAGCUAAAUACUGGCCAGAGACCGAUAGCGCACAAGUAGAGUGAUCGAAAGAUGAAAAGCACUUUGAAAAGAGGGUUAAAUAGCACGUGAAAUUGUUGAAAGGGAAGGAUUUAUGACCAGACUUUUUCUGGGCGGAUCAUCCGGUGUUCUCACCGGUGCACUUUGCCCAGUUUAGGCCAGCAUCGACUUUCGGAGGGGGAUAAAAGCUUUAGGAAUGUGGCUCCCUCGGGAGUGUUAUAGCCUAUUGUAUAAUACCUUUCUGGGGGUCGAGGUACGCGCUUCUGCAAGGAUGCUGGCGUAAUGGUUAUCAAUCACCCGUCUUGAAACACGGACCAAGGAGUCGAACAUUUGUGCAAGUGUUUGGGUGUUAAACCCUCACGCGUAAUGAAAGUGAACGGAGGUGAGAGCCCUUACGGGUGCAUCAUCGACCGAUCCUGAAGUUUUCGGAUGGAUUUGAGUAAGAGCAUAACUGUUCGGACCCGAAAGAUGGUGAACUAUGCGUGGAUAGGGUGAAGCCAGAGGAAACUCUGGUGGAGGCUCGCAGCGGUUCUGACGUGCAAAUCGAUCGUCAAAUCUGCGCAUGGGGGCGAAAGA
rnacentral:rRNA from 1 species